AAGGAGAAACAUCAGGGGAUUUUUAUCCAAGACAGAAUUUAAUGCUGUAAGCUAUACUUGUUUUGUUCUACUUGGUUAUCACUUAGAGUUCACAACAAACGUUUGUCAGCAGGUCCUACAUAUCAGGAACUGAGUUAGUCCGAGGGAUGAUGAACAUAAGUGGUUUCUGGGGACGACCAAUACAAUUUCCAGACAGUGUCACAGUAGCUGAGCUUUGUAGAUGUGGGUAGGGUUGGGGACACCCUGGGCAUGCUAUGCUGAUGGGAGAGGAGGAUGGAUACUGAGGUCUUGUGUCAAGUGGGGGUGCUUCCAUGGAUGGAGCUGAGGGGCCAAAGCAGGUUCUGAGCUGAUCAAGUGAAAGCCCUUGGGGUAUUAAGGAUUCAGCAUGCUUUUGGGGAAGACAGUUUAGUACAUAGAUGCUUGCUACAGACUGUUCACUGUUCGAGUCUCCAUGGAGGUAAAAUGUCUACCUUGCCAGUGCAGCUCUUCCCUUUUUGUUAUUCUCUUUACUUGUGUGCCGUGUUUGGGGCCUCGCUUACACAGCCUUGAGUCAGUACUAUCCUGGGAGCCUCUAAUAACUUUUAUCUUUUGUCUCUGACACUCAUCACUUAUACCUCCCCAAUUUUGUAAAUUCCUCUAUUUUUUUUUCCUGAGGGGAGUUCCUUAUUUUAUUUUAUGUUUUGUCUGCUCUGUGAGAUUUUCAUAUUCACGAUUGCCUGACCUGCCUGACAUCCAGCUGUGUAGUUUAACAUGUCGGUAGCGGGUAAAGAUGUCAGGCGCUUGUCAAAGAGACAUUGCCGUGCCGUGCAUGUUCUGGUCAUUGUCUGACGGUUCGUUUUCAGACUAGGAAGGAGAAUUCACGGCUUGAUUUCAAAACCGAAGAAAGGGCCAUUGCUCUGACCUCACAGCAUACCUUUGCUUGUAGACACUUUGGAUGCUUCGUCUUGUUUUUUCCUUUCCUUUGUGUUUGGGAGUGUCAAAAAGGAUCUCACAGGGGAAAUGGGGUAGUGACGUUCUGUUUGUUUUGAAGUUGUUGAGUUUAGAUUGUGUGUUCAUUUGUGGAGUGUGAAUGGCAGGAUGUAGUUUUGGGGUCCUCCCUGCCAGCAGACCCCCACAUCAAGGUUAUUCUGGGAAGUCUUAUCCAGGGUUAACUGUAAAACACAGGGCUGAACUUUGUCAAACAGGAAACAGAUAUAAAUAACUAUUGAGUCUUAAUUCAAACCAAGCAACUUUCUCACACAUAGUUUAAUAAUGCAUUCUUUGAAAAAAGUAAUUUCCUCUUUUAAAAGAACACUUUAAUUCUUUUGUUUCCGGGCCACUUUCAAUAAGAGACUUUCUCACCUUGAUGUGUGUGUGGUGCCUCCUUCCCUCUAACAGUGGGAAAAUCACAUCUAUUGGCAUUCGAGUUAAAAAUAAAUUAGUGGAAAACGUUGAAGAUGUUUUUAUGUGAGUUGUUUAUCUUGUAGUUUUUCCUGUGUGUAUUUCUGUAGUCUUUGGGUCUCGAUUAAGAACCGUAGAGCUAGCAUGGUUAGCAUUUCUCAGCUUUCAGCAACUGUGCACACAGCCUCAUUUGUUUCUUAAUGAGCCCCCCUCACGGGAUGCCAGUCCUGCAGGUUUCUCAUACUGCAUGUGUGUUUGUGUGCAGGUAUACUGCAUGCACAGUUUUGUACAUAUCUAUGCCAUUUAUGUAAAAAGCAGACGAUUUCUCUGUUUCCAGAGUAGAUGGUGCUUGCCUACGCUGGAUGUUAGCAUGUGAAUGAAAGUAGUUACUGAAUGUACAAUGGCGACAGCAAUGAGAACAGAUGCCAGGCGCAUGGAAUGCCACUUGCAAGUUACAAGAGAUCCACCUUGUUUAUGAGAGUGCUGAGUUGGGUCAUGAAGGACUGGCUUCGUGGUAAUGUUAGCAGUAAGUUCAGGGCUACAGAGAAAGGCUCCCCCACUCUAAUUGAUGGGCCUUGAGAAGGUAACACGUUGUCCUUGACCAAGAGGGUGUGAUGUACACCAGAGCAGGUGAUUGGUUUUUCAUUCUAACCCAGGGGGUGGUAUGCCUUUUCCUCAUUGGCUGAAGUCAAGACCUCACAGUCUUUCAGGAUUGGCUAAUCCUAAAAGAAUCAGUGUGUGCUAGAAAGGAGGACAGGCUUACUGUACUAGGGAGAAUGAGGCCGCUGCUUCAUGCCCUUUGGUGGCUAGGAUGCAGCAGAGGCCCUGUGUAAACAUAAUCUUACCUGAUGGGUUAAGAUUAAAAAAUUUGCAUGGAGUUUUUUUUUGUAGAAAUAGAAAAAACAAUUUUCAUCUCUUGUCUUUGACACAGUUGAAAGUGCUUUAUAGAAAAGACUUAUAUGUUAUGUUUUUAUUACAGCCUGGAUAUUGGAAGUGCCGUGCUGGGCACUGGGAUGUGGAGUAUGGAGAAGGAGGCCGGUUUCUGGCGUGCUGGGCUUGAGGCUUGCUUGGGAGGCCCUGGUGCAGUUUGGUAACAGGCUCGAGAGUCAGGAACCCAUUGUGCUGUGAUGUGGGGCUGUAGGGGAAGCUGGAUGGGAACCUGCUCCCAAAAGUCGUUAGCGAUUGAGACUAAAGCACACGGACUGUUGGAGGAUUGUGUGGGUUCAAACAGACAGAUUAGGGGGUAGGACGUGGGGAGGGGUUCACCUCAGACUUGGGGGCAAUAAAAGAGUUUUGUGAGGUUUACCUUACGCAUGGAACUUAAUUAAAAUAUUUGUGGAAGUGUUUUAAUUUGGC
rnacentral:lncRNA from 1 species